rnacentral:snoRNA from 1 species
UGCACAUGAUGAUAAUUUGUCUUCUUGAUAGGAAGUGCCAACUGACACAUAAAUGAAGCUAAUUUAACCCACUGAAGUCA